rnacentral:rRNA from 1 species
AGCAGCCGCGGUAAUUCCAGCUCCAAUAGCGUAUAUUAAAGUUGUUGCAGUUAAAAAGCUCGUAGUUGAAUUUCGGGAUCGACGGGUCGGUCGCGCCUCUGGUGUGUACUGGCCCUGUCGGUUUCUCCCUUCUGACGAACCACGAUGUCAUUUAAUUUGGUGUCGUGGGAAAUCAGGACUGUUACUUUGAAAAAAUUAGAGUGUUUAAAGCAGGCAUUCGCUUGAAUACAUUAGCAUGGAAUAAUGAAAUAGGACGUUUGAUCUUAUUUUGUUGGUUUCUAAGAUCGACGUAAUGAUUAAUAGGGAUAGUUGGGGGCAUUAGUAUUCAAUUGUCAGAGGUGAAAUUCUUGGAU